UCUCCCCGCUCCAAUCAGUGAAACUGAUCUUCCCGUGAAGAAGCGGGAAUAUACCUAUAAGACGAGAAGACCCCAUGGAGCUUUAAAUCCAACAGCACCUAUUACCCAUAUAUCUUUAUAUUUUUUUAGCAAAUGCUCGUUCGGUUUUAGGUUGGGGUGACCAUGGAGUAAAAAAUAACCUCCACGAAAAAAGGCAUAAAACCCUUAUCAAAGAGCCACAUCUCUAUGAAUUAGUAAACUAAUUUCUGAUGAUCCGAUAUUCGAUCAACGAACCAAGUUACCCUGGGGAUAACAGCGCAAUCCGCCUUAAGAGCCCCUAUCGACAGGCGGGUUUACGACCUCGAUGUUGGAUCAGGGUAUCCCAGUGGUGCAACAGCUACUAAAGGUUCGUUUGUUCAACGAUUAAAACCCU
rnacentral:rRNA from 1 species